rnacentral:rRNA from 1 species
CCUACGGGAGGCAGCAGUGAGGAAUAUUGGUCAAUGGGCGAAAGUCUGAACCAGCCAAGUCGCGUGAGGGAUGACUGCCCUAUGUAUUGUAAACUUCUUUUAUAUGGGAAUAAAAUGUGCCACGUGUGGGAUUUUGUAUGUACCAUAUGAAUAAGGAUCGGCUAACUCCGUGCCAGCAGCCGCGGUAAUACGGAGGAUCCGAGCGUUAUCCGGAUUUAUUGGGUUUAAAGGGAGCGUAGGUGGAUUUUUAAGUCAGUUGUGAAAGUUUGUGGCUCAACCGUACAAUUGCAGUUGAAACUGGCAGUCGUGAGUACAGUAGAGGCAGGCGGAAUGCGUGGUGUAGCGGUGAAAUGCUUAGAUAUCACGAAGAACUCCGAUUGCGAAGGCAGCUUACUGGACUGUAACUGACACUGAGGCUCGAAAGUGUGGGUAUCAAACAGGAUUAGAUACCCGAGUAGUC